rnacentral:rRNA from 1 species
AUGGCGAACCAGGACGUGGUGCUCCGCCCGGACAUGGACGGCAUAGCGGCGGCCGCGGCCAUGCCGGGCUCCUCCAACCGCGCGAUCUUCGCGUGCCGCGGCGCCGCGUCGACCUCCCUGCGGCGCCGCUCCGCCGUCGACGACGAGUUCCGCGCCGGGUCACCCUGCGCCACAAGCUGGGUCUUCCAGGCCAUGCGGGCGUCUUCCCCGCCUCGCUCCCCAGCCGUCGACGAGUACGCCGCGUGGACUAGGAAGCACCCGUCGGCUCUGGCUAGCUUCGAGCAGAUCGCGGCCGCCGCCAAGGGGAAGCAGGUGGUCGUGUUCCUGGACUACGACGGCACGCUCUCGCCCAUCGUCGCCGACCCCGACACAGCGUUCAUCAGCGGCGAGAUGCGGGAGGCGGUGCGCGGCGUUGCGCAGCACUUCCCGGCGGCGAUCGUCACCGGCCGGUGCGUGGAGAAGGUGUGCAACUUCGUGGGCCUCUCGGAGCUCUACUACGCGGGCAGCCACGGCAUGGACAUCAAGGGCCCAGGCUCCAACGCGGAGGAGGUGCUCCUGCAACCUGCUCGCGAGUUCCUCCCGGUCAUCGCCGAGGUCUACGAGGCUCUGGUGGAGAAGACCAAGACCACGCCGGGGGCCAGGGUGGAGAACAACAAGUUCUGCCUGUCCGUGCACUUCCGAUGCGUAGAUGAAAAGAGAUGGAGUCCAUUGGCCGAGCAAGUCAAGGAGGUGCUCCGGGACUACCCCGAUCUCAGGCUCAACGAAGGCAGAAAGGUCCUGGAGAUCCGGCCGUCCAUCAUGUGGGACAAGGGCAAGGCCGUGGAGUUCUUGCUCCAAUCUCUGGGAUUCGACGGACGCAGCGACGUCCUGCCGCUGUACCUCGGGGACGACCGCACUGACGAGGAUGCUUUCAAGAUGCUGAGAAAGAGAGGUCAUGGCCUGGGCAUCCUUGUCUCCAAGUGCCCUAGGGAGACCGACGCCUCCUACUCUCUUCAGGACCCCACUGAGGUUAUGGAGUUCCUUCACCGCUUGGUGCAGUGGAAGCGCCGGCGAUCAUCAUCGUCGUCAUCGUCAGCGAUGCGCGCAAGAGUGUAG